UUCGACACGUCCCAAUCGGUCAUCUCGGCCGUCCCCGCCGCGCCGCAGUUCGCGCCGUGGUUGCAGCACGCCACGCCGGUGGGAUCCACGCGGAGGCAGUUGUCCACCGCGGUCUUCAGCGCGUUUUGGUCGGGAAAAGCGCACGUCGUGUCGCCCGACGCCGGGUCGUCUCCGGCGGCUCUGAGCCCGCCCCACGGGCACGGCGCGCACAGGCCGAGCUCCACGUGCUCGUUCGCCGGGCACGCGUCCAACGACCAGUCUCCGGGCGGGCCGUCUGUCGUGUCGAGUGAAUCAUCGCGCGACACCCGGGACAGCCAGGCGUCAGCGCCCGAGAACAUCCCCGUCGUCUCGGCGCCCUGCGCGAACGUCCAUCCCGCGAGAUCCUGGUAGAAGCUCGACGCGCCCUGGAACAUGCCCCGCGCGUCCGUGACCUGCGACACGGCCCACCGGCUGAUGUCCACGUUGAAACCGGUCAUAUCCUGGAACAGGUAGCUCAUGUCCGUCACGCGCGAGACAUCCCAGUGGGGCAUGGUAGGCUCGCAGAACCGAUCGCCGAUGCACGCGUCCACCGCCGCCUUGAGCUCAGCCCUGGUGCUGACCUCGGGGACGCACACGGCCUCCUGCGUCAGCACCCGGUCGGUGCACGACGUCACGCCCUGCAGCACAUACCCGGGGUGGCACUCGGGGACGCAGGACGUGCCGCUCACGAGGGCGUCGGUGCAGUUGCCGACGCCGCCGUUGUCGGGUGGCGUGGACGCGUCGCACGCGUCGUCUUUGCGGACCCACGCGGCGGGUGGACCGUCGUUAGAGCCGCUCGAUGACGCGUAGAAUGCAACCUCGCCGCACGCCUGGUGGGAGCUGCUGUCGGAGCCGCAGUUGUGGAACCUUGAUUUCCAGGCGGUCGCAGAGUAAAACAUUUGAAACAAAUACGUGACCAUGCUGGUAUCCCACCGCGUUAUGUCCGCGUCGAACGCGUAGGCUUGAUAAAACAUCCGUUCCAUGUUCGUGACCGAGCUGACGUCCCACCGCGAUAUGUCCGCGUUGAACGCGUUGGCCCUAAAAAACAUGGACUUCAUGCUCGUGACCGAGCUGACGUCCCACCGCGAUAUGUCCGCGUCGAACGCGUUGGCACCAUAAAACAUACUCUGCAUGUUCGUGACCGAGCUGACGUCCCACCGCGAUAUGUCCGCGUUGAAUUGAGACUUGCCAUUGAACAAAGAUAGCAUGUCCGUCACCAGCGACACGUCCCAAUCGGUCAUCUCGGCCGUCCCCGCCGCGCCGCAGUCCGCGCCGUGGUUGCAGCACGCCACGCCGGUGGGAUCCACGCGGAGGCAGUUGUCCACCGCGGUCUUCAGCGCGUUUUGGUCGGGAAAAGCGCACGUCGUGUCGCCCGACGCCGGGUCGUCUCCGGCGGCUCUGAGCCCGCCCCACGGGCACGGCGCGCACAGGCCGAGCUCCACGUGCUCGUUCGCCGGGCACGCGUCCAACGACCAGUCUCCGGGCGGGCCGUCUGUCGUGUCGAGUGAAUCAUCGCGCGACACCCGGGACAGCCAGGCGUCAGCGCCCGAGAACAUCCCCGUCGUCUCGGCGCCCUGCGCGAACGUCCAUCCCGCGAGAUCCUGGUAGAAGCUCGACGCGCCCUGGAACAUGCCCCGCGCGUCCGUGACCUGCGACACGGCCCACCGGCUGAUGUCCACGUUGAAACCGGUCAUAUCCUGGAACAGGUAGCUCAUGUCCGUCACGCGCGAGACAUCCCAGUGGGGCAUGGUAGGCUCGCAGAACCGAUCGCCGAUGCACGCGUCCACCGCCGCCUUGAGCUCAGCCCUGGUGCUGACCUCGGGUUCGCACACGGCCUCCUGCGUCAGCACCCGGUCGGUGCACGACGUCACGCCCUGCAGCACAUACCCGGGGUGGCACUCGGGGACGCAGGACGUGCCGCUCACGAGGGUGUCGGUGCAGUUGCCGACGUCGCCGUUGAGGGGUGGGGUGGACGCAUCGCACGCGUCGUCUAUGCGAACCCACGCGGCGGGUGGACCGACGGUGGCGCCGGUCGAUGACGUGUAGAAUGCAACCUCGCCGCACGCCUGAUGGGAGCUGCUGUAGCCGCAGUUGUGGAACCUUGAUUGCCAGGCGGACGCAUAGGCAAACAUAC
rnacentral:lncRNA from 1 species